GGCCUCGUAGCUCAACUGGUAGAGCGUGCGUAUACAAAGCGUAUGUGGGGUCCAUGCAUGGCUUCGAAUCCCAUCGAGGCUA
rfam:Echinostoma caproni strain Egypt genome assembly, scaffold: ECPE_scaffold0004327